UACCAGCACCCCGAGUGGUCGGGACGAUUAUUGGGCCUAAAGCAUCCGUAGCCGGCCUUACAAGUCCUCCGUUAAAUCCAGCUGCUUAACAGAUGGGCUGCGGAGGAUACUAUAAGACUAGGAGGCGGGAGAGGCAAGCGGUACUUAGUGGGUAGGGGUAAAAUCCGUUGAUCCAUUGAAGACCACCAGUGGCGAAGGCGGCUUGCCAGAAUGCGCUCGACGGUGAGGGAUGAAAGCUGGGGGAGCAAACCGG
rnacentral:rRNA from 1 species